rnacentral:tRNA from 1 species
CUGGGUGUGGCUCAGUGGAGAGUGCUCACCUGGCAGGUGCAAGGCCCUGGGUUCAAUCCCAGCACCGAAA